CUGUUCUGCAGUGUUAGAGCUGUGCAGGCUGCCCCUGUGUUCUGGUAUUUUUAAGGGCCAACCAAAGGUGGCCUUGUCCCCACAUGAUCUACCCCACUUGCCCACUGCUUGGGCCUGAAUUUCCACCAUAGGGAUAGAUUCCUUCAUGUUUGAGGUGCUGUUCCAGGUUGAAAGGUAACUUGUACCACAGUUCAGAGAGCAGUCACUGAUAGGUUAUCUCAUCUGAUGAUCACAGCUUCUCAAUUAUUGUCAUUAAAACCCUUUGACAGAUAAGGAGAUUAAAGUUCACAGAGGUGAAGCCACUGGGCUCCCAAGGUCAUCACUGGGUGCCAGAACUAGGAACAGAGCCCAUAUCUCCUGGUAACCAGGUGAAUUCUCUUUCCAGCUUACCUGUCAUUCAUUGCCUGCUGUGUUUUUCAUGCAUAUGUGACUCAUGCUUCCACCUAGAUCACAUGUUUCUUGAGGUCAGAGCCCUUUCUGUGAUCUGCUUUACCUGUUUGACUUGCCUUGGUACAGAGAAUGGAGCUGCAAGACUCCCCUGGUCAGAUCACGUCGGGUCUCCUGAAGACACCAGGAGGAUUCUACUGUGCACAGGUUGAUUCAGUGUGUUUCCCAGUAAAGAAAAUAGGAUGCGGCCGUGCGCAGUGACUUACACCUGUAAUCCCAGCACUUUGGGAGGCCGAGGCGGGUGGAUCACCUGAGCUUCACGGAGCUACCUGAGUCAGCGCCUGCAUCUCCACCACCAUCAUCAUCGUCACUGUCUUCAUCGCCUCUGGGCUGGACCAGCCCCUGCCUGUGAGCUCCCUGGAGCCAGAGGUGCAAAGUCUGCAAUGACACAAAAAGCCAGCACGCUGGGAGGGGCUCUGGAGACCAUCUCAUUGUUCAUUCAUUUGUCUAUUCAAUCCAUUUUAUUGACUGCUCACUGUGUGCCAGACACAUGGGCCCUGGAGAUACAGAAGAAACACGUGAGGUCCCUGCCCUCCAGGAAUUAAGAAGAUAAAGUCAAAAGUGCUGUAAAGAACAACAGGAUGAUGGGCCAGUAUUUGAAGAGGGAGUGGUGCCCUCGGGUCCCAAGAGGGCUGCAGACUGCAGGCCUCCCUGAAGUGAAGAUGCAGCAAAGUGGAAGACAGCACACGGAAACCAUGCAGCAGCUCCCUCUGGGGAAGAGAAAGAGGGAGCCACGUUGCUCUAUACCCUGUGGACUUCUUGCAAUAUGAACCUUCAUGGACCUAAGAAAAAUAAUAAUAAAGGAAAAAAUAGCCAGGUGGGCUGGUUCACACCUGGGAUCCCAGCACUUUAGGAG
rnacentral:lncRNA from 1 species